UCCCUGAUAGCUCAGUUGGUAAAGAAUCUUCCUGCAAUGCAGGAGACCCUGGUUCAAUUCCUGGGUCGGGGAA
rfam:TPA: Bos taurus chromosome 6, whole genome shotgun sequence.